UUUAUGGAGAGUUUGAUCCUGGCUCAGGAUGAACGCUGGCGGCGUGCCUAAUACAUGCAAGUCGAGCGAACGGAUGAGAAGCUUGCUUCUCUGAUGUUAGCGGCGGACGGGUGAGUAACACGUGGAUAACCUACCUAUAAGACUGGGAUAACUUCGGGAAACCGGAGCUAAUACCGGAUAAUAUUUUGAACCGCAUGGUUCAAAAGUGAAAGACGGUCUUGCUGUCACUUA
rnacentral:rRNA from 1 species